rnacentral:rRNA from 1 species
UACGAAGGGGGCUAGCGUUGUUCGGAAUUACUGGGCGUAAAGCGUAUGCAGGCGGACUUUUAAGUCGGGGGUGAAAUCCCGAGGCUCAACCUCGGAACUGCCUUCGAUACUGAAAGUCUUGAGUCCGGGAGAGGUGAGUGGAACUGCGAGUGUAGAGGUGAAAUUCGUAGAUAUUCGCAAGAACACCAGUGGCGAAGGCGGCUCACUGGCCCGGUACUGACGCUGAGAUACGAAAGCGUGGGGAGCAAACAGG